UCUUCCGUCAUCACAACCAAAGUUGUAUUUUACUCUAAACAGUCAUGUCUGUGAAGUUUGUAGUUCAUAUUUGACAAUUUCCACCUCUGUCACUUUUCGCUGCAUCUAUUCGAAGCCUAAUGAUUAUUGUGGGACCUUGAGUAAUCUAUGGUUGUCGGACUACAGUUGCUUUCUUUUUUUUUGUGUCUGUGGAGGUCUUAUUCCUUACAGGCAGGAGAGGACGGGCAGUUGUCAUAGACAUUUUGUAGCCAGUCUCUACUGGGAUUUACACGAUCAUCCUAAGAGAAGGGGCCAUUGUUUUAUUAGCUGACAUCAGAGAAAUGUUUCUGAACAUCACCAGUACAGAUUAAGAAAAAACUUGGGCAUGGUGCUCGUGUUUCUAUGCAAAUUCUAAAAGAAGCUUUCAUAAUUGGCUUUACACCUCCGGCUCCUUGUCUCUAUUUAACAGGACCCUAGACAAAGAUCCUACGGAAGAUAAAGCGAUGUUUCAUAAUGCUUUGGAAAUACUUUAAAGCAGGAAAGAUGUGUCCUUAUGCAUACCCCCCUGCGGUAGGAAUCUUCUCUGUGUAUCCACAAGAUCUAGAGCCGAGAUAUGUUCUUGGUUAAUGGUAAUGACACUGGAAAAAAAAAAUGUUAAAUUAUAUAUUUAACUUGAAAACAUUAGGGAGUUGAAUAUAUUUUAAGUUUUACUUUCUUUUAUACACCUUUUGUCUUCCCUAUAUUCUUCUUUCUCUCUUUCUCUUUCUCCCCCCAUUUCACAUGUGUAUGAAAGUCUGUAACACAACAGCUUAGCUCCUUGCCAAAUUUGCUCCACCCCCGGUUUUUUUUUUUUGUUUUUGUUUUUACAUAUGAGUUCCCUGUGUCUAGUCUUGCCCAAUAAAGUCUUAUGAUGACAACAAUAAACAAAUAAUUAUAUCCAGUCCAUUCCAAAACUAAAAUCCCAAGAUACUCCUGAACAAUAAUCCUAUUUAAAAAAUUUACACAUUCCAAAUGUUUUUGAUUUUUUUUUUGCAAAAAAAAAAAGAAGCAAAAUAAACUUAACUUCAUAUCUUUUUUAUUAAAGCAAACUAUAUACCAUAGUGAUAACGUUUGUCCUUCUUUGAAAUAUCUAUCUAUAACAGUAUCAGGCUUCUAAUAACUAUUAUUCAUCUUGUGUUCAUUUUUUAUGUUUUAAUCCCAGCCGUAUUCUUCUUUUGUCUGGUGCAACAGAAAAAAAAAAAA
rnacentral:misc_RNA from 1 species